UACGGAGGGAGCUAGCGUUGUUCGGAAUUACUGGGCGUAAAGCGCACGUAGGCGGCUUUGUAAGUUAGAGGUGAAAGCCCGGGGCUCAACCCCGGAAUUGCCUUUAAGACUGCAUCGCUUGAAUCCAGGAGAGGUGAGUGGAAUUCCGAGUGUAGAGGUGAAAUUCGUAGAUAUUCGGAAGAACACCAGUGGCGAAGGCGGCUCACUGGACUGGUAUUGACGCUGAGGUGCGGAAGCGUGGGGAGCAAACAGG
rnacentral:rRNA from 1 species